rnacentral:rRNA from 1 species
ACUGCUAAUACCGCAUAAUCCCUGAGGGGGAAAGAUUUAUCGCUUUAAGAUUGGCCCGCGGAAGAUUAGGUAGUUGGUGGGGUAAAGGCCUACCAAGCCGACGAUCUAUAGCUGGUCUGAGAGGACGAACAGCCACAUUGGAACUGAGACACGGUCCAGACUCCUACGGGAGGCAGCAGUGAGGAAUAUUGGGCAAUGGAGGAAACUCUGACCCAGCCACGCCGCGUGAGUGAAGAAGGUUUUCGAAUUGUAAAGCUCUUUCGGAUGGGACGAUGAUGACGGUACCAUCUAAAGAAGCCCCGGCAAACUUCGUGCCAGCAGCCGCGGUAAUACGAAGGGGGCAAGCGUUGUUCGGAAUUACUGGGCGUAAAGGGUGUGUAGGCGGAUUUGUAAGAUAGUGGUGAAAUACCUGAGCUCAACUUAGGAAUUGCCAUUAUAACUAUAGAUCUGGAGUGACAGAGAGGAUAUUGGAAUACCCAGUGUAGAGGUGAAAUUCGUAGAUAUUGGGUAGAACACCAGUGGCGAAGGCGAGUAUCUGGCUGUCAACUGACGCUGAGGCACGAAAGCAUGGGGAUCAAACAGGAUUAGAUACCCUGGUAGUCCAUGCUGUAAACGAUGAAUGCUAGUUGUCGGCAAAAGCCGGUGACGCAGUUAACGCGAUAAGCAUUCCGCCUGGGG